rnacentral:rRNA from 1 species
GACAGAGGUGCCAAGCGUUAGGCGGAAUCACUGGGCUUAAAGCGUGUGUAGGCGGAAUCGUAAGUACCUUGUGAAAUCCCACGGCUCAACCGUGGAACUGCUUGGUAUACUGCGUUUCUUGGGCCAAUUAGGGGCAGCCGGAACAAAUGGUGGAGCGGUGAAAUGCGUAGAUAUCAUUGGAACGCCAAGGGCGAAAGCAGGCUGCUGGGAUUGUGCCGACGCUGAGACACGAAAGCCAGGGGAGCAAACGGG